CCCUUAGAUGUUCUGGGCCGCACACGCGCUACACUGAAGGAGGCAGCGUGUACUCCUGGAUCGAAAGAUUUGGGUAACCCGCGAAUCUCCUUCGUGCUAGGGAUUGAGGUUUGCAAUUAUCCUUCAUGAACGAGGAAUUCCCAGUAAGUGCAAGUCAUAAGCUUGCGCUGACUACAUCCCUGCCCUUUGUACACACCGCCCGUCGCUACUACCGAUUGAAUGAUUUAGUGAGGACUUCGGACUGGGACCGAUGCGGCUUUCGGGCUGCGUCGGUAUUCUGGAAAGAUGUCCAAACUGUAUCAUUUAGAGGAAGUAGAAGUCGUAACA
rnacentral:rRNA from 1 species